AGGGUUCGAUUAUGGCUCAGGAUGAACGCUAGCGGCACGCUUCAUACAUGCAAGUCGAGGGGCAGCAUAAAGUACUUGUACUUUGAUGGCGACCGGCGAACGGGUGCGUAACGCGUAUGCAACUUACCUUUUACUAGAGAAUAGCCAAGAGAAAUUUUGAUUAAUGCUCUAUACUCUUUUUAACUCACAUGAGUUUUUAAGAAAAGCUCCGGCGGUAAAAGAUGGGCAUGCGUCCUAUUAGCUUGUAGGUGAGGUAACGGCUCACCUAAGCUCCGAUAGGUAGGGGUCCUGAGAGGGAGAUCCCCCACACUGGUACUGAGACACGGACCAGACUUCUACGGAAGGCAGCAGUAAGGAAUAUUGGACAAUGGAGGAAACUCUGAUCCAGCGAUGCCGCGUGAAGGAAGACGGCCCUAUGGGUUGUAAACUUCUUUUAUACAGGAAGAAACCUUUCCACGUGUGGAAAGCUGACGGUACUGUAAGAAUAAGGAUCGGCUAACUCCGUGCCAGCAGCCGCGGUAAUAC
rnacentral:rRNA from 1 species